ACCGGCAUCACUGCUUCGACUUUUACUAAGCAGCGCAGCCAACACAUAUCAUGUCAAAUUUUGGGAACCCUUGUGGUUUU
rnacentral:snRNA from 1 species